CCUUCUUCCUUCUCCCUCUUCCUUUUCUCCCUGUGACACCAUAAGCCUCCCAACAGCACCACCAGCCUCACUCACGGCAGCCGGCAGCAGGAAGGCUGCUUCUCUCCUCCCUCACGGCAGCGAGCAGCAGGUAGGCUGCGUGUCUUUCCGCACCACCAGCAGCUCGGCUACUGUACCGCCAGCAGGGGACAGUCCGUGUGACUCCUUCUCCCCAUUUCGCACAGUGAGUCACCACCACCACAAAAACCACCUACCUCCUUGUCCAUCUCCUAGUUUUCACCUUUGUGCCCAUUUCGUAAGAGGAAAGUAGAGCCUUAGUUGGGGUGAUUUUUUGUGACUUUUGAUCGUGCAGUGACGCUUACAGCCUUUGGUCUAAUGUCGAGCAGCAGGAGGAUCAUAGACAGGCGUAGCAGGUACUGGAGCUUCUUUUGCAUUGCAUUGCAUUUGGGGAGAGUGAUGAGGGCGAAGCAUAACCUGUGUCAUACCGCUAUCUUUCGAUUUUGUAGUUCUUGUUAUCUUUUGUAAACUUUGGUUGUAUAUGUUUUGUUACGAGGCCUUGUGUCCUCCCUGGUAUAUUUGUAUUUCCGCUGCGUAGUUUAUAACUCUGUAUGGUUUUAAGGAGUUAAGUCUUUUUAAAACGCAAACGUCGACACU